GCUUAAAAUACUUUAGCUCUGUAGGUUAGAGCGUCGCGCUAGCAACGCCAAGGUUGCAGGUUCGAUCCCCGCAAGGGACA